AGGGUUAAGCAAUAUCAUAUUAAAGCUCCGACGUCAAUAUAUAUGUCCUCCUGUUUCAGAGAAUACACACUUUGCGAACAUUUCUGUAAUCGCCACAAUGAUCCGAUAAGCCAUACUUUGAGUCCAUAUUUGUAAAGUAUAUUAAAUAACUAAAAAAAUUCGAAUAGUUCUUGCAGACUAUUCGUGUAUAUAAUGAUUUCAGUAACCUUCAUAAUUAAUUCACACAUUUCACUCCAAUUCAUCGUCUGCCUCAAAUGGUUUAAAGAUUUUUCCUAUAAUAAAGGGUUCUACCAUGAAACCAAGGUAUGUGAGUUAGAUUUGUCUUUCAGUUUGUCGUUAUAACGAAUUUUCAAACUCUCCAAAUAUUUUGAUCGAACGCUAAAGUGAAAGGGCUUGGCAGGAUAUAAAACUCGUACCUUAGAUUAGAAUGUCGUGAAAACCUUAUUUCAGAUAUUUAAUUGUGGCUUCUCAGUAGGAAAUGUAUAGGUGUGUUUCGACAUCGACAUAAAACUUAAGAGCGCUUCCUUUGUAACAUGAAGCUUAGCAUCACAAAUUCGAGCUGAGUGGUUACUUUAUAUCAUCAUAAAUACCUAGAGCUCCAGCGUGGAACAUAGGUUACUUUAUAUGAUUAGUCGUAAUUUUUACAGCUAAGCUAUUGAAAAUCAUUCACAUUCUGAUAGGAAAAAAUUUCUUGAGUAGCAAUUGUUCAAGGCUCAAAAUUUGAAGGCGGCAAGUAUAUAAAUUUUAAUCGAAAAUUCUUACCACAACCUUACUCAAUUUAACCUCACUGUGCGCCGCUCCAACACUCAGCUUUCUGUCUGCUGCUGCUAUCUGCUGCUGAAUGCUGCGCCGCUGUUCGCCUUUUUGGCGUACAACGCUCGGACAGCUGCGCGUCGUCGUUCGUCCGUAGAUGUACGCCCGGUUCGUGUUGGCGAAAUGAAUUUUCUCUUUUUCACAUUUGGGGCCAAUUUUUUAGUACGAAUUGUACUUUGAAGCGAAUCGAAGGUGCUGAGCGGGUCUAAAAGCAAACACACAUGCCUACAUACCGACCGACAAAAAUUUUUUUUGUGCUGUAAAGUUGUAAAAUUGCAAAAUUUGUGUAAUUGCAUUGGUAAAAAGUAGAAGAAAAAUCGGCAAAUCAUUAAAGCCAAUCAAUUCGAGAAGUCGCAAGUAAUUAAAUUUGUGCAAAAUUUGUUGGUGAUUGCAGCGAAGAAAAGGAAAUCGCUAGGCAAGUCGAAAAAAAGUAGCGAUUGCAGAAAGCAGCUAAGGUAGCUAGCAAAAAAGCAAGUGUGCAACAACAAGUGCAACAAAGGCAAAUAAGGAAAAAGCUGCAAAAAAAGAGUUACAAGCUGAAUAAAAACACCACCAAACACUUGAAUCACCACUAACAGCAGAGAAAAACGAUUACAACAAAUAACAAUAAUAACAACAACAACAUUGAGAACAACUAGCAACAGUGUAGAGACACAUACUUACAUACAUAUGUACAUAAAUACAAAUGUAUACAUGCACAUACUUGUAGAUACAACACACACAGCUAUACAAACAGAGCAACUAACAAACUUUAAAACUCUAAAAAAAAUCUAAAAAUCUAAAUAUCACACACAACCAUACACACUUGCAUACAGAAUAAAACCAAAACAAGCAAAAGACAAGCAAAGACAACAACAAAAACACACAAACACAUUAAAAAGUGCAGUUUGCAAGCGAAAAAGUGUAAUUUGUGGAAAUUUGCGAAAUCGUAAAUCUAAAAUUUCAAAUUGAAAAAAAUUCCCCGCAAAAUACGCCAUUCGAAUAAGUCACACUAAAGCGAAGUGAAAAAUCAUCUGAAAAUCUUCACUUUUCAAUAGCGAGUGUAAGCAUUUCUAUUAGUUUGGUGCUGUUCCAUACCCGCGCGCCUCGUUCGCAAGAAAAUUCAAUACAAAUAUAAAAAAGGAAAUUCAGCAACCGCUUUUGGCUCCUUGGCAGAAGAAAGAGGAAGAAGCAUUAGCAAAAAAAGUUGCAACUAAAUUUGUGAAUAUUGUCGUUGCUUAGCUACGCGCGCAGCCUCCAUCCAUCCACCUCCUUCAAUUCGUGUACGUGUGUGUAUGAGCGCGCGCUCCUCAUUCUGUGCAUGUGUGUGAGUGUAUGAGUAAGCCGAAGUUUGCAAUCAUUGUAUUCGUGUUUGUAGUGCGAAAAGCGAAAACUCAACUAGAAAAAAUUACAAAACAAAAAAAAAAAUAUCGUGAAAAUACCAGAUGAACUACAGUCGGUUUUGAAUGCUUGAAAUUUGAAGCUGAGUUUUUCAAGAGCUGGGAAAAGUGAGUGAGUUGUUGCUACAUUUUUGUGCUUGCCACGCUAAAAACCAACCAAGAAACUCUGAAAAAUCAAACCUCAAAAGGGAAAAACAAACUGAUCGCCUGACCGACGGUAAAGUGAAAGUGCAACGCCAGAACGUGUAAAAUAACGGUGCAAUAGCAGCAGCAGUGGCAGUUAGGGAAGACGUGCUUUGAACGCUGAUCCAAACAAGCAAGCAGACAAAGGUGGCACUAACAGCAGCAGCAGCAGAAGCAGCAGCAAAUCAAGCCAGACAUCAACCAAUCAGUUAUACCAACGACAAAGGAGUUAGAAAAGCAGAAGUUGCAUAUACGCCGACAACGACGUCGCUUCAAAGAAGAAUUAACAAAAGUGAUUAGAAAAAUCUGUGACAGAGUGGAAAUUCUGUGCGAAUUCUCUAUUAAAAGUGUUUUAAGCGAAUAAAGUCCACUACAAAGCGCUGCGCAAAGGCCAACAAAGCAAAAAAGCCAAAACAGCGUUCGGCCUACAAAAACCGGAAGCCAAGCGUCCAAGCUAGCCAGCCAGCCAGCCAGCCAGCGAGCCAUCAAAGUUCAUUGAGAAGCGCUCCACGUAGCGUUCACGCAUAUUUUCAGUCGCGUUGUGCCGCGUUCAGCAGUAGCGCUGGAAUACUUUAUUUCACCCCCCGGUCCAAUAAACGUCGCCAAAAUAAUUCACCAACAAACCAUCACCGACAUCAACUUCGCAACGGCGACCACAAUGCCAUAUAACGGCGCCAGCAAUGGCAGUGGUGGUGGCGGUGGCGGAGGUGGUGGCGGUAUAAGUGAUGGGCCGCAGAACAAGAAGAUACGCACCGGUGUACAGCAGCCGGGCGAAACGGAUGCACAUCUGCAUGCAAGGGUAAGUGGUAGUAGCAUAGAAAGAAUUUAAAAGAAAAGAAAACGAAAGAAGAAAAAAAAAACAAAAAGAAAACAAA